rnacentral:rRNA from 1 species
UACGGGGGGAGCAAGCGUUGUUCGGAUUUACUGGGCGUAAAGGGCGCGUAGGCGGAUGUGUCAGUCAGGGGUGAAAUCCCGGGGCUCAACCUCGGAACUGCCUUUGAUACGGCACGUCUCGAGUCCGGAAGAGGUGGGUGGAAUUCCUAGUGUAGAGGUGAAAUUCGUAGAUAUUAGGAAGAACACCGGUGGCGAAGGCGGCCCACUGGUCCGGUACUGACGCUGAGGUGCGAAAGCGUGGGGAGCAAACAGG